AUCCCAGCUAGAUUUUGUUUGUAUUUGUCUGAUUCAUGGGAGGCCAAUAUUAACGCUGGGAGUUCGCUGUAAACACCUUUUGUUAUUUUAUAAGGUGUUUUGAUAGUAUCUCACCAUAAAUAG